UUUCCGUAGGUGAACCUGCGGAAGGAUCAUUAUUGAAUGAAACACUUCUGGCUUUGUGCUGUUGUGCUGGCCCUUUGGGCAAUGUGCACACGGCUCUGGUCACUUGUUUCUUCUGUUCCACCUGUGCACUGCCUGUAGACACGCUGUGUCUAUGAUAUUUGUUAACACACAACGAUGUUAGUUGGCAUGUUAUAUAUAAUAAUAAAAUGUACAACUUUCAACAACGGAUCUCUUGGCUCUC
rnacentral:misc_RNA from 1 species